AUAACGUACGUCGUACACCUGACGAGAAGUUAUCAGACUUUAUAGACAUACUGAUGGAACUAGGCUGCCUUUUACGAUAAAGUUUGACCGGGUCUUUAGAGCUAGAGAAACCCGGCGAUAACCGGCGAGUAACAUGAUAGAUAAGAGAAGUCACGAGAGGUCAUGAGAGAAAGUCGAGGAGUGACGGACGCGGAUACCGAUGAUCGAAUACGAUUCUGCACAGCCCAUGAUUUUCCUCGGCGAUACGCUCAUUAAUUAAAGCAGGGAUAAAGUGAUUAAACCCACGGACAAUGGGAACGGACGAGUGCUGAACUGAAAAUUGCAUUAAUGUCGCUGACAAGUCCUUGGAAGUUUCGCGAAAACGGCGCGAGAGGAUCGAUACGCGGGCGGAUCGAUGUGGACGCCCGUUUGGAAAGGUCAGAAAAUUAGAGCGAAACGCGCGCGGGAAAUCGGAUUGUCACCGGCAACUUGUGGUGAAAUACCGUCGCAGGCCAUGCGAGUGUGUCACUCACCCCGAGAAUGAGCGUUUAAUAAUUUAUUUUGCACCGCAGCAGGUGAGAUCGAUAUGCGCACUGCUCCCCGCACGACAGACAUCUAAUUAUAUUUGCAUAACAGCAUACGACGUAUGUUCAAACCUAGGAGCGUCGACCGUCUGACUAAUGUAAACCGAGUAUCGACUAUUUUACAUUUAACGUUUCACAAGUCGCCCGAGUGCCGAGUUGAAGUCUCGUGAAGUCUUUAGUCUCAGAAAAAACGCGGCUAGAUCGAAAGAAAAUUUUAUCACCUGAUCUAGGUAAAGAAAGUGAUACAAUGUGCAAUUUCGUUGUUUUAUUUAGCACUGUAUUAUAAAACUUAUCUUACUUGAUCAUAGAUACAAUCUUAUAUAUUUUGUCUUGUAUAUUUCAUACAUUGUUACCGUCGCAGUGCUGAUGAUAUAGUAUAUAAUAAUACACAAAGCUA